CGUUCAACCAGGAGGUUUUCUCACGAUACCAAAGUCCUGUAUAUAAAAUACAUCAAAAUAUUUACAAGACUUCAAAAAUAGAAUAAAAUAGCAUAACAUUUUCUAAAUGGACUCACACAGCUGACACAAACAGCAGUCGUCUUGGCCACCCACAAGAAUCUGACACUGGCUGGUAGCUCCGCCCCUUCCUAUUUAACAGGCCUUAAUGCCAGAGCCACACCCCACAGGUGUCACCCAUCACAUACGUUUGCCCAACAGGCUUUUAUUGUUUUCACCCUCUUUAUCCCAGGACACCAGUCUGUUGUCGGACACACAUUUACACCUGGAGCAAUUUAUCCCCAAUCAACCUAUGAAGAAAACCUACAUGUGCACGAGAAGUACAUGUGGAGCCACACGGAAAAGUUCCUGCUGGGAUUAGAACCAGCACCUUAUCGCUGUCAGACUGCUGGACAACAUCGAGAGCUUUGCAGAGAAAGAGUCCAGGUUUAAGCCGGUCCAGAUCUUUCAGCACCUGAGAACACUUGGCUGCAUCACGAGACGGAAGACGAAAGCAGCUGGAGGCUCAAACAUUUCUCUGCAGAGCUCCUGCAGGUUUUGUGGAAAGAUCUUCAACCUGUAGGGAGGUCAUUUAAUCAGACGGCUGUCUUCGUCCCGGCCGGAUUUGAUGGCUGAAGUUCAUCUGGGAGGAAAGGUGACGGAGUUGGUGGAUCAUUAAGGGAUAAAUGACAGAAAAGUGAGAUUUUUAAAGUAAAACAGGAAACA